rnacentral:piRNA from 1 species
AUUAAAUAAAGAGGACUGUAAAU